rnacentral:rRNA from 1 species
AGCCAGCAGCCGCGGUAAUACGUAGGUGGCGAGCGUUGUCCGGAUUUACUGGGCGUAAAGGAUGCGUAGGUGGAUGUUUAAGUCAGAUGUGAAAUACCCGAGCUUAACUUGGGUGCUGCAUUUGAAACUGGAUAUCUAGAGUGCAGGAGAGGUAAGUGGAAUUCCUAGUGUAGCGGUGAAAUGCGUAGAGAUUAGGAAGAACACCAGUGGCGAAGGCGACUUACUGGACUGUAACUGACACUGAGGCAUGAAAGCGUGGGUAGCAAACAGGAUUAGAUACCCUGGUAGUCCACGCCGUAAACGAUGAGUACUAGGUGUAGGAGGUAUCGACUCCUUCUGUGCCGCAGUUAACACAAUAAGUACUCCGCCUGGGAAGUACGAUCGCAAGAUUAAAACUUAAAGGAAUUGGCGGGGGAC